rnacentral:rRNA from 1 species
CCGCAGCAGCCGCGGUAAUUCCUACGGGAGGCAGCAGUGGGGAAUUUUGGACAAUGGGCGAAAGCCUGAUCCAGCCAUGCCGCGUGAGUGAAGAAGGCCUUCGGGUUGUAAAGCUCUUUCAGUCGGAAAGAAACGAUUGUGAUUAAUACUCACAAUUAAUGACGGUACCGACAGAAGAAGCACCGGCUAACUACGUGCCAGCAGCCGCGGUAAU